rnacentral:tRNA from 2 species
GAGCCAUUAGCUCAGUCGGUAGAGCACUUGACUUUUAAUCAAGGUGUCCGGAGUUCGAUCCUCCGAUGGCUCACCA